UACGGAGGAGGCAAGCGUUAUCCGGAAUUAUUGGGCGUAAAGCGUCCGCAGGUGGCGAUUCAAGUCUGCGGUCAAAGACUGGGGCUUAACCCUGGAAAGGCCGUGGAAACUGAAUAGCUAGAGUGCAGUAGGGGUAGAGGGAAUUCCCGGUGUAGCGGUGAAAUGCGUAGAGCUCGGGAAGAACAUCGGUGGCGAAAGCGCUCUGCUGGACUGCAACUGACACUCAGGGACGAAAGCGUGGGGAGCAAACAGG
rnacentral:rRNA from 1 species